UGCAAGUCGAACGCGAAAGCGGCCUUCGGGCCGCGAGUAGAGUGGCGGACGGGUGAGUAACGCGUGGGUGACCUGCCUUCGAGUGGGGGACAACCCUCCGAAAGGGGGGCUAAUACCGCAUGACAUCCUGUUCUUGGAUGAACAGUGAUCAAAGCCGGGGAUCUUCGGACCUGGCGCUUGUUGAGGGACCCGCGUCCGAUUAUCUUGUUGGUGAGGUAACGGCUCACCAAGGCGACGAUCGGUAGCCGGCCUGAGAGGGCGGACGGCCACACUGGGACUGAGACACGGCCCAGACUUCUACGGGGGGCAGCAGGAAGGAAUUGUUCGCAAUGGGCGAAAGCCUGACGACGCAACGCCGCGUGGAGGACGAACACCUUCGGGUCGUAAACUCCUGUCGAGCGGGAAGAACGGCCCGCGGGUUAAUACCCCGCGGGUGUGACGGUACCGCUAAAGGAAGCCCCGGCUAACUCCGUGCCAGCAGCCGCGGUAAUACGGGGGGGGCAAGCGUUGUUCGGAUUUACUGGGCGUAAAGGGCUUGUAGGCGGCCGUACGUGUCGGUUGUGAAAUCCCCGGGCUCAACCUGGGAACUGCAAUCGAAACUGGACGGCUAGAAGCCGGGAGAGGGAUGCGGAAUUCCAGGUGUAGCGGUGAAAUGCGUAGAUAUCUGGAGGAACACCCGUGGCGAAGGCGGCAUCCUGGACCGGUCUUGACGCUGAGGAGCGAAAGCCAGGGUAGCAAACGGGAUUAGAUACCCCGGUAGUCCUGGCCCUAAACGAUGAAUGCUUGGUGUGGCGGGUAUCGAUCCCU
rnacentral:rRNA from 1 species